GCCAAGAUAGCUCAGUUGGUAGAGCAUUAGACACUUAAUCUCAAGGUUGUGGGUUCCAGCCCCACAUUGGGCA